AUAUAUAUAUGUACACACACACACACACACAGACACGUGUGUGUGAUAUGUGUGUGUGUGUGUGUGUGUGUGUGUGUGUGUAUAU